CAGUCGCCGCGGGAAUACGGAGGGGGCUAGCGUUGUUCGGAAUUACUGGGCGUAAAGCGCACGUAGGCGGCUUGGUAAGUUAGAGGUGAAAGCCUGGAGCUCAACUCCAGAAUUGCCUCUAAGACUGCCGAGCUAGCAGGUGAGAGAGGUAAGUGGAAUUCCGAGUGUAGAGGUGAAAUUCGUAGAUAUUCGGAAGAACACCAGUGGCGAAGGCGGCUUACUGGCUCAUACUGGACGCUGAGGUGCGAAAGCGUGGGGAGCAAACAGGAUUAGAUACCCCCGUAGUCCCUGUCUCUUAUAC
rnacentral:rRNA from 1 species